GACGAACGCUGGCGGCGUGCCUAAUACAUGCAAGUGGGACGCAAGAGAACACACUGUGCUUGCACACCGUGUUUUCUUGAGUCGCGAACGGGUGAGUAACGCGUAGGUAACCUGCCUAUUAGCGGGGGAUAACUAUUGGAAACGAUAGCUAAUACCGCAUAAUAUUAAUUAUAGCAUGAUAAUUGAUUGAAAGAUGCAAGCGCAUCACUAGUAGAUGGACCUGCGUUGUAUUAGCUAGUUGGUAAGGUAAGAGCUUACCAAGGCGACGAUACAUAGCCGACCUGAGAGGGUGAUCGGCCACACUGGGACUGAGACACGGCCCAGACUCCUACGGGAGGCAGCAGUAGGGAAUCUUCGGCAAUGGACGAAAGUCUGACCGAGCAACGCCGCGUGAGUGAAGAAGGUUUUCGGAUCGUAAAGCUCUGUUGUAAGUCAAGAACGUGUGUGAGAGUGGAAAGUUCACACA
rnacentral:rRNA from 1 species